rnacentral:rRNA from 1 species
UUAAUAAUUUAUAUAAAAUAUUUUGAUGAAUAUUUAUAUAAUAUUAACAUAAUUCAUAUUACUAUAUAUUUUAGUAUAUGAAAUUUUACUUUGAGAAAAUUAGAGUGCUUAAAGCAGGCAUAUGCCUUGAAUACUCCAGCAUGGAAUAAUAUUAAAGAUUUUUAUCUUUCUUAUUGGUUCUAAGAUAAGAAUAAUGAUUAAUAGGGACAGUUGGGGGCAUUUGUAUUUAACAGUCAGAGGUGAAAUUCUUAGAUUUGUUAAAGACAAACUAAUGCGAAAGCAUUUGCCAAGGAUGUUUUCAUUAAUCAAGAACGAAAGUUAGGGGAUCGAAGACGAUCAGAUACCGUCGUAGUCUUAA